rnacentral:rRNA from 1 species
AUUGAACGCUGGCGGCAUGCCUUACACAUGCAAGUCGAACGGCAGCACGGGGCAACCUGGUGGCGAGUGGCGAACGGGUGAGUAAUGCAUCGGAACGUACCUUUCAGUGGGGGAUAACGUAGCGAAAGUUACGCUAAUACCGCAUAUUCUGUGAGCAGGAAAGCAGGGGAUCGCAAGACCUUGCGCUGAUUGAGCGGCCGAUAUCAGAUUAGCUAGUUGGUGAGGUAAAGGCUCACCAAGGCGACGAUCUGUAGCGGGUCUGAGAGGAUGAUCCGCCACACUGGAACUGAGACACGGUCCAGACUCCUACGGGAGGCAGCAGUGGGGAAUUUUGGACAAUGGGCGCAAGCCUGAUCCAGCCAUGCCGCGUGAGUGAAGAAGGCCUUCGGGUUGUAAAGCUCUUUCGGCCGGGAAGAAAUCGUAUGGGUUAAUACCCUGUGCGGAUGACGGUACCGGCAUAAGAAGCACCGGCUAACUACGUGCCAGCAGCCGCCGUAACAC